UACGAUGAGGGGCUAGCGUUGUUCGGAUUUACUGGGCGUAAAGCGCACGUAGGCGGGUUGUUAAGUCAGGGGUGAAAUCCUGGAGCUCAACUCCAGAACUGCCUUUGAUACUGGCAACCUAGAGGCUGGAAGAGGUUAGUGGAAUUCCCAGUGUAGAGGUGAAAUUCGUAGAUAUUGGGAAGAACACCAGUGGCGAAGGCGGGCUAACUGGUCCAGGAUCUGACGCUGAGGUGCGAAAGCGUGGGGAGCAAACAGG
rnacentral:rRNA from 1 species